AAAAAUGUACUUUUGGGAUAAUUUCGUACAAAAGUACAUUGAGUUUUCUAAUUGCAAGCGUAUAGACAAUUCUACAAAGCUUUAGCCGAUACGAAAUUAAGAUGGCCGAUUAAGUUAAUCAGAAAUUAAUCUCCCCAAGUGGCCCUUAAUUAGAUCAUAAUGUUUUUCUUCAACAUCGCUAAUUGGUAACGAAAUUACAUGGAUUUUAAUCAUCGUUCCGAAGAAUGUAAACAUCUCUACACGCAUCUGUUUGAGAAAAAGCUUGCGGCAUUAACAGUCUAAGCUCGCAGUGGUGUGCGAAGGAGAGAGCGUCACGGGUGUCAUCGAGGAAAGCGAUCGUUCGAUGGAUUGUAUCGCCGGGGCGUGUUGCUUGAUCAACAUAUGCCGCAAGGAUUGCGCUUCCUCCCGAAGGGUCACUAUCUGCGCCUUGAGAAUCGCGUUCUCGUGCUCUAGCAUCGUCGCCCUUAGAGCUAUCUGUGUCUUCUGUGAAGCGUGUUUAUGCCGUUUGUAGUAAUGAAGUGACGGUUCACGGUACCUGUUUUGUCAUCGGUGAGAAAACACGGGUUUUUAGUAUCAUUGCGUAAUUUUUAACAAGAUAAAACAAAAAAAUUUGCCCCGGGUGAGGAUCGAACUCACGACCUUAAGAUUAUGAGACUUACGCGCUGCCUACUGCGCUACCGAGGCGAUUAAGGAGGAGGAUCGAACGUGUUAAGGAAAAAUUAGCUUACCCGAAGAGGAAGUCGAGAAUGGUUGAGGAACACUCAGAGAUUGCAUCAAGGGUGGCACCGCAGCUAGAAAAGGCGGUUGAAGCAGAGUUCCAGGAAGUGAGAAUGUUGUUGACAAAGAAGAGGAUGUUAACGGCGAGGAUGAAGAGUCCGCUGCCAUGGAAUUCGACAAAAUAUCCGGCUCGACGAAAUAAUCCCGAGACGGAUACGCUUCGUAUCUACAUAGAUCUGUUAAUGAAGAUGAGAAUUUUGUCAAUUUUAUUCAGGAUUAAUUAGCUUUAUGCAAAAUAUAGCUUGCUCACUCGCUUGAUCGAUGGACAAUUUAUUUGACACUUGGAAAUUUCGCCAAUGAGAGCUGAAACUUUUACUCCAGCUGGCUAUAUACAUUAUAACACAAUUGUAUAUGCUACCGAACUAUGAAACUAAUGGGAAUCCGAAUGUCGUGAUAAUACAACUUGUCAAGGGAACGAGAGCGAUGUAAGGGCGAUGCUAUGAUAAAUGAGACAACCGCUUGUACCAAGAGAAAUGACCUCGCAAAAAUCAAAUAGAUUGAGACGAAUGCAACUCGUACAUUUCAACAUACAUAUUUUAAAUAUUGUUUCAGAACUAUUGGAAAAUCGAUGCGAUGAAAGGAAGUGAUUUUGGACCUCUAAAUGAUAUGUUUUUCAACCAAGGAACUUUAACGCACCUGAAUUUGGGGCGAAGAGACUGUAACUUCGUAAGAGAUGCAACGCGGAGAAUGCACCAGAGACUGCAUUUUCUGUGCACAUCGUCCUUGCAUGAGAGUGUGAACUCAUUGCUCGAGAAAUAUUCUCUUCAAUAUUCACAAUCAGAAUCAAGGUAGACUCCACACAUCUUUUCGAUCAAACAUUAAAUUCUUAUUUGCCCCAAAAGACACAAACAUAAUAUGUAACAUCAGAUCAUAUAAUAUCCCAUCUACUUAAAUCAUAAAUAAAAUUUCAAAUCUUAAGAAUUGUUUCAAAUAUAGAUCGUGCCAUAGUUGCCAAAA